GUGUGACCGUUAGAAAGCCGGUCGUAUUCAAAUCGUCAAUUUGAAAUUUGAAACUUGAGCUUGUAAUGUAUGCCGUUCUCUUAGCCGCUCAACAAGUGUUCUCUUAACCGCACCGAGCUUUCCUUGGCCAAAAGCUUUCCCUUUACCGGUCCGCCAAGCCCAGAAGCGGCUACUGGGCUGUGUAGUCGCUCGACGAACCCUCGAAAGGAAUAAAGCGGUUGCCAGUUGGGUGCAAACUUCUGUUACAAAACCAAUUACAAAUGAACCUAGUAUAAAGCGCAAUUCAAAAGUGUUCAAUAUUGAAAAGGAUACGGCGAAGGAUAUUAUUCCGUGCACCGCAACCGUUUUGGCUUCCUAGUUCGCUGUUUUCUUAAAUUCCGGUUCCCUGAGGCCCCGCGCACACUUCUUGUUCGCUGCCAUAUGGCGCCCGAGUGGGCACAAUCAUCAUCAUCCGCCAAUGUCAACAGGAACCGGAGCAGUUGGAUGAAGAGGAAGCCAAGCCACGCACGUGCCGUGAAAAGUUUUGCGCCAAAACUAGAACUCCUUCAUCCAGGUAACACGUUAGGGAGAGUGGGUAUAAGGUGGCACGGUGUCGUUGUCCUGUUUUAUGGGUGAAUACAGGCAUUCAGGGAUUUCAGGAGGGUUGGCGAGGCUUUGAUUUGUGGUCACAAAGCACGCGAUGUUCGUAAGGCACUGAAACCAAAGCUUAAGCAAAAAUGAUUUGUCCCAGAGGAGCACUUACUAUAUGGUGAAUUUUUGAGAAAAACAAUCACAAGGUCACAAUUUAGUUUAAAUAUUCAAUUUAUUCAAGCCUACGAAGAAGGUUCUAAGAGGACAUAGAACUAAGCAUCUAAACCCAAACCAAUAUAAACAAAGUUCCAAAGCAAUAUAAACACCAUAAUACUACCUAUUUCAGUUACAAAUUCAUUGAAAUUACUUUCUCACUGUGUAUUAAGACCACCUGUUGUCGUGGUUUUGAGCUUUAAGCGCGUGUUUGGAAACUUUCAAUCUAUUUUUGGUGGGCAACGACGAAUGCAGGAUAAUAAAGGGCUAACGAAAAUCGAUCAAA